CCUACGGGAGGCAGCAGUGAGGAAUAUUGGUCAAUGGGCGCGAGCCUGAACCAGCCAAGCAGCGUGCAGGAUGACUGCCCUACGGGUUGUAAACUUCUUUUAUAAAGGAAUAAAGUGAGGCACGUGUGCCUUUUUGUAUGUACUUUAUGAAUAAGGAUCGGCUAACUCCGUGCCAGCAGCCGCGGUAAUACGGAGGAUCCGAGCGUUAUCCGGAUUUAUUGGGUUUAAAGGGAGCGUAGAUGGUUUGUUAAGUCAGUUGUGAAAUUUUGCGGCUCAACCGUAAAAUUGCAAUUGAUACUGGCAGUCUUGAGUACAGUUGAGGUAGGCGGAAUGCGUGGUGUAGCGGUGAAAUGCUUAGAUAUCAUGAAGAACUCCGAUUGCGAAGGCAGCUUACUAAGCUGCCACUGACGUUGAUGCUCGAAAGUGUGGGGAGCAAACAGGAUUAGAUACCCCUGUAGUC
rnacentral:rRNA from 1 species